rnacentral:misc_RNA from 1 species
GAGCUUGAACCCGAUGUAAUUGUUUUCCAUGUUAUCCAUGUCAGUUUUCAAUUAUUAUGGCUCUUUUAGGCAUCAAAGACGAAUUGUUGGAUUCAUCAACUGCAUCAUGGAAUGUUAACAAAAUAGGAGGGUUGUCUGACUGGAUACAUCCAGAUAGUAUAAAGCCAGUCUGUCCCUGCUGUAAGAGUCCUAUGCUUCUGAUUGUUCAGUUGAAUUGUCCUUUAGAUGGUUCUCCGUAUCACAGGACCCUGUACUUGUUUACCUGUCCUAGAAGAGAAUGUUGGGGUAGAGAUGAAAGGUAACUGUUACCAUGACAAUCACCAGACAAGUAUAGUAUAAAAAAGUACAAAUAAUACGUUAUAAAAUUAAUGUGUUUAUGUUGCUACCCUUAGAGUUAGUGCAGAGCCCAUUAAAUAGACCAUUGUGGAAUUUUCACAUUAAAAAUACAUGUAUCUGUCAUUCCUUUAUAUUUACAUUCCACAUGUUUUUUGCUUGUAAAGUGUGUGAAAGCUACGGCAGUUAUAAUACUGUAAUGCACACAGGGUACUCAAAGGUUAAAAUGACGAGUUUUAUUAUGACAUCACAAACGUUGAACGCUGUUAACUGCAGCGUCACAAGCGAAAAUAAAAAUUCACGCUUGCGGCUGUUACUGUGGCUCUUCCAUUAAUAUGAACUUACCCUUAGGAUAAGAUAGGAAUUUUAAGGUAUAAAUCACAUUUUUUGACAAGGCAUGAAGUUAAAAUAAUGAAAAUAUAAGCAUGAAAUCAUGAUUUUUUGAAGUAUACAGUCUCAUAACUGUAGCGAUGCUUGCAUACAAAUUUUCAUAUUGCGUUAACGCGCGUUACUCAAUUUGUAUGCACACACCGCUGCGGUUAUGAGACUGUAUACCUCAAAAAAUCAUGAUUCAAUUCUAUAAUGGAACCCAAAAAAAAAUUACCAGUAAAAUGUAAUAAAAAAUUGUACUGGUAAUCAAUAUAUCAACAGAUGUUUGAUCAAUUCGUUAACCACCGAGUCUCCUUAGGCUAAAUGAACAAUUUUAAACUGCACUCCUGCCUAUAUCCUGAUCUGACUGCAGUCACAGUGUAUCAUCGCACUUCUUUGAUAGAUUAUGGUUGAUAUCAUUCUGUUAUUAUCAAAUUGUAGGAAUUGGUUACAAUAAUUGUUCCACAUUGCCCUGUAAAAAUAAAAGCAUUGUGUUUUGUCCCUUGGUAGAAAUUUUUAAAUUUUAUAAUCAGAUCCAGUUGUAAAACAUACAAAUCGAUAUUUUUUUUGGUCAGUUGGUGUGUCCUCAGAUCUCAAUUCUUGGACAGUAGCUACAAAAAACAUUCACAACAAGCAAAAUUAGAGAAAAAGGUUGAUUUGUUUACCUGUGAAGAUGACUGGGGAGAUGAUGUUGAUGAUCCCACUGACGAUUUUACAAAGACAGAGGGUGGAAAACAGCAACCAGCUCCAAAGUCAGGUGGCUAUAGCAGUAACAAUUGUUCCAGUUCAGAAUUUGACGAGAUAGCUAUAACAGAGGGUGCCCUAAGCAAUAAAUUUGAGGAUCUGAGAUUUCAGGAUGAUGAGCAAGUGGAGGAGGAGCAGGAAGAGGUAAAAGAAGAUAUAUCUGUUGAUGACUGUGAGAAGGAAGAUGAAGUUACUAAGGAUGAUCAAAUGGUGAUACCGGAUGAUUCUUUGCACAAUGCAUUCCAGCUAAUUGAGAACGGCCAGGAGACCUGUAAUGACAUGGAUGAAGGCCCUGACCCAUCAUCAGAUAUACUCAUUUCUUAUUAUCUAAGUGUUGUAGAAGAGCAUUCAGUCCCUGCAGAUGACAAUGGUUACCUUAAAAAGCUAUUAAAUGAAUAUCAACGGAAUGAAGGAGUGGAUCUAGAGGGCUUGCUUAGUUCUGAAUAUUUUUCAAGCAGUGAUAAAAAUGGAGGCCAAAGUGGGAAUGAAAAGUAUGAACGAACAGAAAUAAAGCAUGGAGACAAGGUAUUUCACCGGUUCCGGAAACAAACGGCUGUGUGUCCUCAACAGUGUGUCAGGUAUCAUUGGAAUGGCAGUCCUCUAUUCAUCAAAGAACUGAGUCCUUCAGAGAGGUCUACUUAUACUAACAGAUCCUGUCCAAGUUGUGGCGGUGAUGUAGUGUUUGAACUACAGUUGAUGCCAGCCCUGGUCAACUUUCUUCAGACUUCAGAAAAAGCAGGGCCAGCUACAGAGUUUGGGACGGUGAUCGUGUUUACCUGUAAGAACAGUUGUUGGGAUGAUAAAUCCACAACUAAACAGGAACUAGUUCUUGUGCAGCCUGAUCCUGACCAUCAUCUAUUUAGAUAAAAGAUAAACUCUGGCGUUUUAAUGUAUCAUGAAGUUCUUGCUUUAAUGUUAAAUGUUUUGUUACUGGAAUAUAAAUUUUAUUUG